rnacentral:rRNA from 1 species
GGCGCAAGCCCGCCGUGGACCGCAUGGGAGUGAGAAUGCAGACAUGAGUAGCGAAAGACGGGUGAAGAUCCCGUCCGCUGGACGACCAAGGGUUCCAGGGCCACGUUCAUCGUCCCUGGGUGAGUCGGGUCCUAAGGCGAGGCCGACAGGCGUAGUCGAAUGGAUGAACGGGUCGAUAUUCCCGUACCGGCAUGCAACCGACAAAACCGAAUCCGCGAGUACUAACCUCCGGGUCCGGGCUUACGUCUCCUUCGGGAGCCGGAUGCCCUGGCCUGUUGGGACCGUAACGGUAGUAGGUCAGCGCGGGAGUGACGCAGAAGGGUAGCCGGCCGCGGAGGUGGUCUUCCGUGGUCAAGCACGCAGCCCGUCCCACAGGCAAAUCCGUGGGGCGCGUGGGCGAGGUGCGAUGAUGGGCGCCGCAGGGCGCGAUAUCCGGUGAUCCCGGCUGCCGAGAAAAGCUUCGGCGUGAGGCGGCGUGCCGCCCGUACCCCAAACCGACACUGGUGGUCAGGUAGAGAAUACCAAAGCGAUCGAGCGAAUCCUGGUCAAGGAACUCGGCAAAUCACUCCCGUUCCUUCGGUUUAAGGGAGACCCCCGAUGGUGAAGCGGCUUGCCCGUGGAGCUUUUGGGGGUGGCACAGACCAGGGGGUAGCGACUGUUUACCAAAAACACAGGAGCGUGCGAAGGCGCAAGCCGCUGUAUACGCUCUGACGCCUGCCCGGUGCCGGAAGGUUAAGAGGAUCCGUCAGGCUUCGGCCGAAGCGGUGAAUUCAAGCCCCGGUAAACGGCGGUGGUAACUAUAACCAUCCUAAGGUAGCGAAAUUCCUUGUCGGGUAAGUUCCGACCUGCACGAAUGGCGUAACGACUUCCCCACUGUCUCGACCAGGAGCUCGGCGAAAUUGCAGUACGAGUAAAGAUGCUCGUUAAGCGCAGAAGGACGAAAAGACCCCGGGACCUUUACUAUACCUUGGUAUUGGCAUUCGGUGUGGAUUGUGUAGCAUAGGCGGAAGGCUUCGAAGCCACGGCGCCAGCCGCGGUGGAGCCGCAAGGUGAAAUACCGCUCUGUUCGCAUUGGAUGUCUAACCUCGACCAGUCAUCCUGGUCAGGGACAGUGCCUGGCGGGUAGUUUAACUGGGGCGGUUGCCUCCCAAAGAGUAACGGAGGCGCUCAAAGGUUCCCUCAGCCCGGUUGGCAAUCGGGUGGCGAGUGUAAGUGCACAAGGGAGCUUGACUGCGAGACUGACGGGUCGAGCAGGGACGAAAGUCGGAACUAGUGAUCCGGUGCCGGUGUACGGACGCGGCAUCGCUCAACGGAUAAAAGGUACCCCGGGGAUAACAGGCUGAUCAUUCCCAAGAGUCCAUAUCGACGGGAUGGUUUGGCACCUCGAUGUC